AACGAACGCUGGCGGCAGGCCUAACACAUGCAAGUCGAACGGGACCUUCGGGUCUAGUGGCGGACGGGUGAGUAACGCGUGGGAACGUGCCCUUUGGUUCGGGAUAGCCCUGGAAACUGGGAGUAAUACCGGAUACGGUCGAGAGACGAAAGAUUUAUCGCCGAAGGAUCGGCCCGCGUUGGAUUAGGUAGUUGGUGGGGUAAUGGCCUACCAAGCCGACGAUCCAUAGCUGGUUUGAGAGGAUGAUCAGCCACACUGGGACUGAGACACGGCCCAGACUCCUACGGGAGGCAGCAGUGGGGAAUCUUAGACAAUGGGGGAAACCCUGAUCUAGCCAUGCCGCGUGAGCGAUGAAGGCCUUAGGGUUGUAAAGCUCUUUCAGUGGGGAAGAUAAUGACGGUACCCACAGAAGAAGCCCCGGCUAACUCCGUGCCAGCCGCCGCGGUAA
rnacentral:rRNA from 1 species